CGUCGAAGGGGCCAGAGAGGCAGUGGAGGAGGCCACAGAGGAGCUCUCGCUCUUGGGCUCCUUGCAAUAUGUCCAAAACCUGACACAGAGGGAUGAGCUCCUGGCGGCCACCAUUCACCAUUAUGUCGAUGGACGCAAGGUGGAAACCCUCCAACAGUUUUGCGAAGGGCUAACUGUUUUUGGAGCCUUAGACCUUUUGAAGGCACACUCAACUCUGAUGUAGAAGGUGUUUGUUGAGGACCAGACGCCACUGCUCGCAGAACACAUCAGUGCAGCCUUCAGGGCUGGCACUCUCUCAGGGCGUGGUUCCAACCGCAGGCGGAUGGAGGCUAGAACCAUUGGCUUUUGGCUGGACUGGCUGCUGAAGGUGGAGGAUGGAGGAAGCACGCUGAAGUUGGGGGUCGUGUUGGCCUUUGCCACUGGCCUUCAGAAGAUCCCUGCAGCAGGCUUUCCAACACAGCCACAACUGCAUUUCCUCCACCCGGAGGACAGGGCCAGCAAGUUUCCCGACGGCCAACACCUGUGCCCUUAUUCUCAGGCUGCCAGUGUUUCCAACAUAUGGGCAGUUUGAAGGCGCCAUGGAGAAUGGCAUAAGCUGGGCUGGCCAAUUUGAAAGUUAACUCUCUUUGUCUUCUCUGUUUACUUCCUGCCCUGUGU